rnacentral:rRNA from 1 species
ACGCUAGCUACAGGCUUAACACAUGCAAGUCGAGGGGAAACGGCAUUAAGUGCUUGCACUUUUUGGACGUCGACCGGCGCACGGGUGAGUAACGCGUAUCCAACCUUCCCAUGACUAAGGGAUAACCUGCCGAAAGGCAGACUAAUACCUUAUGGUCUUCACUGACGGCAUCAGAUGUGAAGUAAAGAUUUAUCGGUUAUGGAUGGGGAUGCGUCUGAUUAGCUUGUUGGCGGGGUAACGGCCCACCAAGGCAACGAUCAGUAGGGGUUCUGAGAGGAAGGUCCCCCACAUUGGAACUGAGACACGGUCCAAACUCCUACGGGAGGCAGCAGUGACGAAUAUUGGUCAAUGGGCGAGAGCCUGAACCAGCCAAGUAGCGUGCAGGAUGACGGCCCUAUGGGUUGUAAACUGCUUUCGUAUGGGGAUAAAGUCAAUCACGUGUGAUUGUUUGCAGGUACCAUACGAAUAAGGACCGGCUAAUUCCGUGCCAGCAGCCGCGGUAAUACGGAAGGUCCGGGCGUUAUCCGGAUUUAUUGGGUCUAAAGGGAGCGUAGGCUGGAGAUUAAGUGUGUUGUGAAAUGUAGACGCUCAACGUCUGACUUGCAGCGCAUACUGGUUUCCUUGAGUACGCACAACGUUGGCGGAAUUCGUCGUGUAGCGGUGAAAUGCUUAGAUAUGACGAAGAACUCCGAUUGCGAAGGCAGCUGACGGGAGCGCAACUGACGCUGAAGCUCGAAGGUGCGGGUAUCGAACAGGAUUAGAUACCCUGGUAGUCCGCACAGUAAACGAUGGAUGCCCGCUGUUGGUACCUGGUAUCAGCGGCUAAGCGAAAGCAUUAAGCAUCCCACCUGGGGAGUACGCCGGCAACGGUGAAACUCAAAGGAAUUGACGGGGGCCCGCACAAGCGGAGGAACAUGUG